UACGUAGGGUGCAAGCGUUUGUCCGGAAUUAUUGGGCGUAAAGAGCUCGUAGGCGGUUUGUCGCGUCUGCUGUGAAAACUGGGGGCUCAACCCCCAGCCUGCAGUGGGUACGGGCAGACUAGAGUGCGGUAGGGGAGAUUGGAAUUCCUGGUGUAGCGGUGGAAUGCGCAGAUAUCAGGAGGAACACCGAUGGCGAAGGCAGUUCUCUGGGCCGUAACUGACGCUGAGGAGCGAAAGCGUGGGGAGCGAACAGG
rnacentral:rRNA from 1 species